rnacentral:rRNA from 1 species
UACGAAGGGGGCUAGCGUUGCUCGGAAUCACUGGGCGUAAAGCGCACGUAGGCGGGGCUUUAAGUCAGGGGUGAAAUCCUGGAGCUCAACUCCAGAACUGCCUUUGAUACUGAGGAUCUCGAGUCCGGGAGAGGUGAGUGGAACUCCGAGUGUAGAGGUGAAAUUCGUAGAUAUUCGGAAGAACACCAGUGGCGAAGGCGGCUCACUGGCCCGGUACUGACGCUGAGGUGCGAAAGCGUGGGGAGCAAACAGG